UUCAAUUAUAUAAUGUGCUCGCAUUUGAUAACUGACAUAUACACACUAAACUACUUGAACGUGGAUGUAUAUAAUCAUUAUCACAUGGAUUUGAAUGUGGGUACUCAUUGUCAUAUAGAUUUCAGGUUAUAGAAUUGCGUGAGAUAGAAAAUCUAUCUCACGAUUUCUUCUUACUUGGGAUGGAACCAUCACUUGACGUUCGGCGUUAUAAUGGAUGCAUUAUCGGUGGGGUACAAUUUUAUACGUUAAAAUAUGAUUCCCGAUGCACUACACAAAACAGUGGAGUGAUAGUAAUCGGUGAAAGCAAUGCCAGUGGAAGUGGCGACAACAAUUUCUACGGUGUUCUAAACGAAGUGUUACACGUUCAAUAUCCAAUAGGAAGAAGUGUUUGGCUAUUUAAGUAUCGAUGGUAUAACACCAACAACAACAAAAGCCAAAGGACACAUGUGAAAUUAAGGUACAAAGCAAUCAACAUGUCCCAUUUUUUGUUCAUCAAGGAACCGGUCAUUCUUGCGAUGCAAGCACAUCAAGUAUUUUACCUAAAUGACCCAAAAAAUGGUUGUAAUUGAAAAGUUGUCCAAGUGGUCCAGAAUAAGUGUAUAUGGGAUAUGUCGGAAGUGGACAAUGUUGAGAAUAAGCAACUGAAUGUACUCGAAAACGUUGUCAGCCAUCGAGUGGAUGGGCACAUUAAGGAUGACACUCUGUACAGGCCUAACGUUGAUCCUACAAUGAUUGAAAGAUCGAUUAUGUGUCAUGUCGCUGACGACUUCAUAAACGAUGGGGAUGAACAAUUGUCACAUCAAAGAGGAUCAAGCGAUGACGAAUGAUAGUGACGAACCACGUAUUUGUCAUCAUUCUCGAGUGGUUUCGAGGAGACAUAUCAGAUGUUCCUCGAGUUCGAUGAGGAUCUAAACACUGCAGGAGGGUAGUCCUCGAUGGGCAACAAUUCAAAAACUACUCAACCAUCUUGACUCUUAGAAGACGUGUGCAAUCUUGACUCUUGGAGUUGGAGAGGUACGUCCACGCCAAUGGUAGGAUUACCAUGUCCAUAGCCCCUAGCGUGGAGAAACCCAUUUCGCCACACGUUAUUCGGUUCUGUUAGGCCAUUGGCGUGUGUUUAAGGAAAACAUUUUCAGUCUGCUGCCUUAGGUGGGUUGAAGUUGGAAGAGAAUACAUCGAGUUCGUCAAGGGCGAU